rnacentral:snRNA from 1 species
ACACUCUGGUUUCUCUUCAGUUCAUGUAAAUCUUUCACCUUAACUAAAGAUUUCCAUGAAAAGGAACAGUUAUGAACCUUUGCCCAAUUUUUUGAGGCCUUGGUUUUCAUAAGGCU